AGUGAACGCUGGCGGCGUGCUUAACACAUGCAAGUCGAACGAGAACGGAUUAUUAGCUUGCUAUAAUUGUCAGCUAAGUGGCGCACGGGUGAGUAAUGUAUAGGUAAUAUGCCUCUUACUAAGGGAUAACAAAUGGAAACGUUUGCUAAUACCUUAUACUCCUUAUUAACAGAAGUUAAUAAGGGAAAGAUUUAUUGGUCAAGGAUGAGCUCGCGGCCUAUCAGCUUGUUGGUGNGGUAAAAGCUCACCAAGGCGACGACGGGUAGCCGGCCUGAGAGGGUGACCGGCCACACUGGAACUGAGAUACGGUCCAGACUCCUACGGGAGGCAGCAGUGGGGAAUAUUGCACAAUGGGCGCAAGCCUGAUGCAGCAACGCCGCGUGAGGGAUGAAGGCCUUCGGGUUGUAAACCUCUUUUAUCAGGGAAGAAGCGAAAGUGACGGUACCUGAAGAAAAAGCACCGGCUAACUACGUG
rnacentral:rRNA from 1 species